AACGAACGCUGGCGGCAGGCUUAACACAUGCAAGUCGAACGCCCCGCAAGGGGAGUGGCAGACGGGUGAGUAACGCGUGGGAACGUACCUUUCGCUUCGGAAUAUUCCCGGGAAACUGGGAGCAAUGCCGAAUACGCCGUAUUGGGAAAGAUUUAUCGGCGAAAGAUCGGCCCGCGUUAGAUUAGGUAGUUGGCGGUGUAAUGGACCACCAAGCCUACGAUCUAUAGCUGGUCUGAGAGGAUGAUCAGCCACACUGGGACUGAGACACGGCCCAGACUCCUACGGGAGGCAGCAGUGGGGAAUCUUGGACAAUGGGCGCAAGCCUGAUCCAGCCAUGCCGCGUGAGUGAAGAAGGCCUUAGGGUUGUAAAACUCUUUCGCCGGAGAAGAUAAUGACGGUAUCCGGAGAAGAAGCCCCGGCUAACUUCGUGCCAGCCGCCGCAGUAAUAC
rnacentral:rRNA from 1 species